GAACCAUGGCAACAACCGGAAAACACCACACCCAGCAUGGAAUAUAUAGGACGGGGGAAUGAUGGAGGUCUUGGGACCAUUGUUAACAGAAAAAGGCAGAACUAAAAA